rnacentral:misc_RNA from 1 species
AUUAAUCAAGCAAUUAAUUUUCUAUUAAGGCUUAACAAAUAUAUCUCUAAUAGUCUUACAUGAUAGAUGCUUUAGGAUAAAUAUAUAAAGGAUAGUGCCUCCAUAAUCAUAUGCAUCAUUUCUAUCUCCAUCUUUGUAUGUUCUCCUCACACACAAAUUUCUGCUAUGGAGGAUCAGUUUCCCAAAAUGGAAACCUUCAUGCCCAAGGACUUGCCUUUUUAUGGUUUUCAUGGAACGGCUACAGAAUCCAAAUAUUUUCAUGAUCCAAUCAUUUGGGGAGCUCCAACUGAAACUACUACUUGUCACGACAAUGGUAAUAGUGGCAUGAAAUCAACAGCAUCAUCAUCAUCUUCUUCUGAAAGAUUCUUUUCAAGUUCCGAUUCUAGUUCAUCGGUGGAGGAGGCUUCAGGUACCAAUAAUUUGAUUGGUAACAUCCCGGGGUUUGUUGAACAGGAUGUUACCAAACAAAUCCAUGCAAGUUGUUUUCUUUCGGGAUUGAGUUCUUCUAUCAACUCUCCUCUCUCUGGAGCGUCACUAUCUGCUACUAUCAAAGAAAGCUCCAAUAUUCCUGUAAAUUUCUUAGAAUCUUUUCCAAAAAUAAAUCAAAAUCCAGCAUCUGAGCCAUCUUCUCCAACGAAAUUCCCAAAUUUGACUUUGUUUUUGCAGGAACCUAGAUUGUUAGAUCCAUCCAAACAAAAGAAUACUGCUGAUUCACUCAGUGAGAAUCAAAGAUUCGAGCCAAUGUUACUGUUUCCAAACACUUCAUUUUCCGUGCCUCAGCUUGGGCAAACUCAUUGCCAACCAAGCGAAGAAUGGCUCAAAAUUAAUCAAACCUUGACAGACUAUCCCACAAGAGGCUUCAGUGAUUAUUGGCUUAGCACUACCAAGACACAGCCGAUGAAAUACACUGGUCGAAGAUUGCAGAAUGAGCAUCAAAAGUCCUCUUUAUCAUUGGCGGCAUCGUCACCGGGAAAGAUGUUUAGAGGAGUGAGGCAAAGACACUGGGGCAAAUGGGUCGCAGAGAUUAGGUUACCAAGAAACCGGACAAGGGUUUGGUUAGGGACUUUUGACACGGCAAAAGAGGCCGCUAUUGCUUAUGAUACAGCUGCCUAUAUGUUACGCGGAGAUUAUGCACAUUUAAAUUUCCCAGAUCUUAAGCCUCAACUUAAAGCCAAUUCUCUGAAUGGAACAACGGCAGCCCUUCUUGAAGCAAAGUUACAAUCAAUAUCAAAGGACAAUGUUAAUAUUGAUGCACCAUCACCAUCAUCAAACCAGCAUAUAUAUGAGAAUAACACAAAGCAGCUCAGGGGUUUGGGCCAAAACCUAUCAAGAAAAGAGUGGCAAUUUGAGUUUGAGAGCAAAGUUGGAUUUGAUAGUGAAAUGAAUGAGAAAAAGAAAGCUCAGGAGGUUGUAGCAUCUGAUAUAGAUGCUGUUCAGUUAAGCAGAAUGCCUUCCUUGGACAUGGACAUGAUCUGGGAUGCUUUGUUACGCUCUGAUUCAUGAAUAUAUGUAAAUAUUUCCCCUCACUUUUUAUAUUUUCCGACUGAGUAUAUAUAUACGGUGCUUAGAUUGCCUUAGAUUGAAUAGAUGUUCAUUAUGGUAUUUAUGUUUGUGCCUUGAAUAGCAUAUACUAAUUGAAUUUUUCUUUUUCUUUUAUUAACUAUAGAAAUUGAAGGUCAUUAAUUUGGUUCCUUUUCGCUUAAUUAAUGAUCUGAAUUUAGGAUCUAUACGUGUAGGGUUUUCUCAAAUACGUUUGUUAUUUGCUCAAUUCAUGUCCUCCUUAAUUCCUCACUUUUUUUUCCCUUUCUGUAAGUUUUGUUUCUGGGUUUCAGGUGUUGAUUAGUUUCAG